AGGUAAGCUACUAAGAGCGAAUGGUGGAUGCCUUGACUGGUAAAGGCGAUGAAGGACGUACUAGACUGCGAUAAGCUACGGGGAGCUGUCAAGAAGCUUUGAUCCGUAGAUUUCCGAAUGGGGCAACCCAAUGUAUAGAGAUAUACAUUACCUAUAUAGGAGCGAACGAGGGGAAUUGAAACAUCUUAGUACCCUCAGGAAAAGAAAUCAAUAGAGAUUGCGUCAGUAGCGGCGAGCGAAAGCGCAAGAGGGCAAACCCAGUGCUUGCACUGGGGGUUGUAGGACUGCAAUAUGCAAGAGGUAAGUUUAGCAGAACAUUCUGGAAAGUAUAACCAUAGAGGGUGAUAGUCCCGUAUGCGAAAAACAAACCUUAGCUAGCAGUAUCCUGAGUAGGGCGGGACACGAGGAAUCCUGUCUGAAUCCGGGUCGACCACGAUCCAACCCUAAAUACUAAUACCAGAUCGAUAGUGCACAAGUACCGUGA
rnacentral:rRNA from 1 species